rnacentral:rRNA from 1 species
UGGGGAAUUUUGGACAAUGGGCGAAAGCCUGAUCCAGCAAUGCCGCGUGUGUGAAGAAGGCCUUCGGGUUGUAAAGCACUUUUGUCCGGAAAGAAAUCCUUGGCUCUAAUACAGUCGGGGGAUGACGGUACCGGAAGAAUAAGCACCGGCUAACUACGUGCCAGCAGCCGCGGUAAUACGUAGGGUGCAAGCGUUAAUCGGAAUUACUGGGCGUAAAGCGUGCGCAGGCGGUUUGCUAAGACCGAUGUGAAAUCCCCGGGCUCAACCUGGGAACUGCAUUGGUGACUGGCAGGCUAGAGUAUGGCAGAGGGGGGUAGAAUUCCACGUGUAGCAGUGAAAAUGCGUAGAGAUGUGGAGGAAUACCGAUGGCGAAGGCAGCCCCCUGGGCCAAUACUGACGCUCAUGCACGAAAGCGUGGGGAGCAAACAGGAUUAGAUACCCUGGUAGUCCACGCCCUAAAACGAUGUCAACUAGUUGUUGGGGAUUCAUUUCCUUAGUAACGUAGCUAACGCGUGAAGUUGACCGCCUGGGGAGUACGGUCGCAAGAUUAAAACUCAAAGGAAUUGACGGGGUCAUAGCUG